rnacentral:miRNA from 1 species
CGAACCUGGACAUCGUUUUGUACA